AAUCGAACCCGGAGAUAGCUGGUUCUCCUCGAAAUAGCUUUAGGGCUAGCCUCAUGGAUCAUUGGUGGGGGUAGAGCACUGAAUGUGCGCGGGGGCCACAAAGCCUACCAAACGCUAUCAAACUACGAAUACCAUACAAUGCAGACCAUGGGAGUCAGUCCGCGAGAGAUAAGUUCCGCGGGCAAAAGGGGAACACCCCAGAUCAACCGCUAAGGUCCCCAAGUUCACGUUAAGUGGAGAAGGAUGUGGAAUUGCACAGACAACCAGGAUGUUGGCUCAGAAGCAGCCACACAUUUAAAGAGUGCGUAAUAGCUCACUGGUCGAGUGAUUGUGCGCCGAAGAUGUCCGGGGCUAAACGUGACACCGAAGCGAUGGGUGCAUCUGAAAGGAUGCGCGGUAGAGGAGCAAUGUGCAGAGGCAGAAGCCGUAUCGAGAGGCACGGUGGACACUGCACAAGAGAGAAUGCCGGUAUGAGUAGCGAGAGGCAUGCGAGAAACAUGCCCGUCGAAAGCCCAAGGUUUCCUGGGGAAGGUUCAUCCGCCCAGGGUAAGUCGGGGCCUAAGCCGAGGACGGAAGUCGUAGGCGAUGGACAGCAGGUGUAGAUUCCUGCACUACCGAUGGAAUGAAGCAGUGACACAGAAGGAUAACUCGAGCAGGGUGAUGGUCAACCCUGUGCAAGCAUCAAGGUUGGGUUGUAGUGAAGUACGCAACCCUACAAGCUGAGGUGUGAUGCGGACCGAAAUUUCAGUAGGGAAGCGAGUGAGUUCACGCUGGCGAGAAAAGCUGCUAGUACAUCCAAAGGUACCCGUACCGGAAACCGACGCAGGUGGGCGAGGAGAGAAUCCUGAGACGAACGGGAGAACCCUUGUUAAGGAACUCGGCAAAAUGACCCCGUAACUUCGGGAUAAGGGGUGCCUGCGAGAGCAGGCCGCAGAGAAUAGUCACAAGCGACUGUUUAGCAAAAACACAGGUAUCUGCGAAAGCGAGAGCUGACGUAUAGGUGCUGACACCUGCCCGGUGCUGGAAGGUUAAGGGAACAUGUUAGAGCAAUCGAAGCAUCGAACCGAAGCCCCAGUAAACGGCGGCCGUAACUAUAACGGUCCUAAGGUAGCGAAAUUCCUUGUCGGGUAAGUUCCGACCCGCACGAAUGGUGUAACGACUUGUGAGCUGUCUCAACAGGGGGCCCGGUGAAAUUGAAGUAUGGGUGAAGAUGCCCAUUACCCGCGACUGGACGGAAAGACCCCGUAGAGCUUUACUGCAGCCUGAUAUUGAGUUUCGGUAACUGAUGCACAGGAUAGGUGGGAGUCUGAGAGACAUGGGUUUCGGCUCAUGUGGAGACGGUGUUGGGAUACCACUCUUCGGUUACUGAAAUUCUAACAUAGCUCUGUGAAACCAGAGGAUGGACAGUGUCAGGUGGACAGUUUGACUGGGGCGGUCGCCUCCGAAAGAGUAACGGAGGCGCCCAAAGGUACCCUCAGAAUGGAUGGAAACCAUUCGAAGAGCGCAAAGGCAGAAGGGUGCCUGACUGCGAGAUUGACAAAUCGAGCAGAGACGAAAGUCGGGCUUAGUGAUCCGGCGGUAUUGAGUGGAAAAGCCGUCGCUUAACGGAUAAAAGCUACCUCGGGGAUAACAGGCUGAUCUCCCCCAAGAGUCCACAUCGACGGGGAGGUUUGGCACCUCGAUGUCGGCUCAUCGCAUCCUGGGGCUGAAUUCGGUCCCAAGGGUUUGGCUGUUCGCCAAUUAAAGCGGCACGCGAGCUGGGUUCAGAACGUCGUGAGACAGUUCGGUCCCUAUCCAUCGUGGGCGUAGGAGUCAUGAGAGGAGCUGUUCCUAGUACGAGAGGACCGGAAUGGACGCACCACUGGUGCAACUGUUGUCGUGCCAACGGCAUAGCAGGGAAGCGAAGUGCGGAUGGGAUAAACGCUGAAGGCAUCUAAGCGUGAAGCCCACCUCAAGAAUAAGACUCCACAAUAGACCCCUGGAGGACUACCAGGUAGAUAGGUCAUCGGUGGAAGCGCUGUAAGGCGUGU
rnacentral:rRNA from 1 species